GUAAUCUCUUACAAUAAGGGAUUGAGAAAAUUAUAUUUUAGCCGCAUGGUUCAAUUAUUACUGUAUUGCCAGUUAUUUUAUUAAGUUUGUGUUUGAAUCAAAGUGACGAAAUAUAAUGAAACUGUAAGAAGAAGGAUUUUGCACCGCCCUUCGGGAGAAAUCUCAAACGACGUAUGAACUUAUAAAGACCCAACAACACCACGGGUAGGCACUUCCAGGGUUCAAACGACAAGGGACAGGUCUGGAGGAUAUACAGCCUCCCAUUUGAUCUUGUUUAUUUUGGUUCUUCUUCCUGCAACCCUCAGAGGGGCAGUUUCAGUAACGGUUGGACCGUUACACCACAUUGGUGUUAGCUUCGUACCACGGACUUGGGUAUUAGACAUCAAGGAACAUUGGAACCUGUGAAAAGGGGUUUGUUUUGGGGACAUUUAUUCGUAACGGUUAAAGACAUACUGUUUUUUUAAUUUUUCAGGACAUUUAGCAUACUUAUACUUUCAUAAUUUAAUUACAUAUAUUUUUUCUUUCCUCCAAAAACAUAAGUAUACUGUAAUUUAUCAGAGCCAUACCUAAAGUUGAUAGUGUUCCCCAAAUUUACAUAAUUCCUUGGUAGAAGUUUCGAGCUCGAAUAUUCUUCCCACAUAUAUGUUCUUUACCCUUGGUUUGUAUUAAUUUUAGACUUGUUCCCAUGUAAAUUAAAUAUAUAAUUGUCUUAAUUCUCUAACUUUAAAAUCAUUUAACUUUUUACUGGUUUUUGUAUCCAGUACUACGUUGGUUCAUUUAGGGACUUGUUACCCGUCAACUCAUUGAGAGUUAUAUAAAAAUAUUAUUUAUAUUAGGUAUUUUUAUUAUUAUAUUAUCAGGUAGUAUUCAAUUAGGCUGUACGUAUUUUAUUCGUACUAUUAUUUGGUGAAGGGUUGUCAUUUAACCUAGAUGUAAGUUGAGGGUAUGCUUCCUAGGAAAGCUACUCCAAUAAUAAUUUAAUAGGUAAUUAUAUUUAUAUCACAAUAGGUAAUUAUUUCUCAUUGUCAUUUUAGAGUUACAUAGUUACACUUGUCAUAACUUAGAGGUUGUCAAUAAUCUAGAUAGUUAUAUAUAAUAAAUAUUUAUUUGUUUUGUA
rnacentral:lncRNA from 1 species